rnacentral:other from 1 species
CGGUCGCUGCAGGGUGCGUGAGGCUAAAAAUCCCUGGGGCCAACAUUACACUCUAGGGAGCUGUCCCUGUCGGGCCCGUGGGCUCGUUAUUAUGGCACCCACCUGCAUAAGCAGGCCACAGAGGAUCAUGCGGCCAACGGCCAUUGCGGCACCGUC